UACGUCUUGGUAAUGCGGCCCAAAGGCCAC
rnacentral:sRNA from 1 species